CCUACGGGAGGCAGCAGUGGGGAAUCUUAGACAAUGGGGGCAACCCUGAUCUAGCCAUGCCGCGUGAGUGAUGAAGGCCUUAGGGUCGUAAAGCUCUUUCGCCUGUGAUGAUAAUGACAGUAGCAGGUAAAGAAACCCCGGCUAACUCCGUGCCAGCAGCCGCGGUAAUACGGAGGGGGUUAGCGUUGUUCGGAAUUACUGGGCGUAAAGCGCGCGUAGGCGGAUUAGAAAGUUGGGGGUGAAAUCCCGGGGCUCAACCCCGGAACUGCCUCCAAAACUGCUAGUCUAGAGUUCGAGAGAGGUGAGUGGAAUUCCGAGUGUAGAGGUGAAAUUCGUAGAUAUUCGGAGGAACACCAGUGGCGAAGGCGGCUCACUGACUCGAUACUGACGCUGAGGUGCGAAAGUGUGGGGAGCAAACAGGAUUAGAUACCCUGGUAGUCCACACCGUAAACGAUGAAUGCCAGUCGUCGGAUAGUAUACUAUUCGGUGACACACCUAACGGAUUAAGCAUUCCGCCUGGGGAGUACGGUCGCAAGAUUAAAACUCAAAUGAAUUGACGGA
rnacentral:rRNA from 1 species